UUUAACCUGAACAUAAUAUUUUUUUAAAGAAAUCAUAUGUGAUUUUGAUAAAAAAAAAACGUGUAAUACGAAAAAUAACAUGUGAUAUUAAACUAAAUAGAAUGUUAUUUUUUCCCAAGAAUGCUCUUUAUAAAUUACGUGCAAUAUGAGAAAAUAACAUGAUAAAAAAAAUAUU